AAUCAACGCUGGCGGCGCGCUUAACACAUGCAAGUCGAACGAGAAAGCCGGGCAACCGGUGAGUAAAGUGGCGUACGGGUGAGUAACACGUGGGUAAUCUACUUCUGGGUGGGGAAUAACCCUGGGAAACCGGGGCUAAUACCGCAUAAGCUCGAAAGAGGAAAGGCGAAAGUCGCCGGGAGAGGAGCCCGCGGCCGAUUAGCUAGUUGGUAGGGUAAAGGCCUACCAAGGCAGAGAUCGGUAGCCGGCCUGAGAGGGCACACGGCCACACUGGCACUGAAACACGGGCCAGACUCCUACGGGAGGCAGCAGUGGGGAAUCUUGCACAAUGGGGGAAACCCUGAUGCAGCGACGCCGCGUGAGCGAUGAAGCCCUUCGGGGUGUAAAGCUCUUUCGGCUGGAACGAUAAUGACGGUACCAGCAGAAGAAGCUGCGGCUAACUACGUGCCAGCAGCCGCGGUAAUACGUAGGCAGCGAGCGUUGUUCGGAGUUACUGGGCGUAAAGAGUGCGUAGGCGGUGCGGUAAGUCUGGUGUGAAAUCUCCCGGCUCAACUGGGAGGGUGCGCUAGAAACUGCCGUGCUGGAGUGUGGGAGAGGUAAGCGGAAUUCCUGGUGUAGCGGUGAAAUGCGUAGAUAUCAGGAGGAACACCUGCGGUGUAGACAGCUUACUGGACCAUAACUGACGCUGAGGCACGAAAGCGU
rnacentral:rRNA from 1 species